AUGGGGUUCUCCGACUGCCCGGGAGCUGGGCAUCUUCCAGCCUGGAAUGAAUCCUCCAGGCCAUGUCCCCUUUGUGUUCACAGCCUCCAUUGCCUCUGCCUGGAUCCGCUGCCCUGGAGCGGGGCUGCCGGCACCAGAGCUGAACCCUCCUUUGAAACAGCGAGUGGCGCUGGGGCUCCCAUGCAGGCUGCAGGGUUAUGUGGCCUGAAUGUACCCCAGAGUGGAGGACAACACGGGAAGCCCAGCUACCUCUGGAGGGGAGGAGGCAGAUGCACUGGUGCACACCCUUGUGUACCUCUUGAAAGAAACGCACCCAGCUUCCUUGGAAUCCGAAGCAGCAUUGAUCUCGUUUGGUGGGAGAAACUGGAGCUCCUGGCUGAUAGGAAUCUGCAGGACGCCUGGAGAGCAGCCCUGGGCUGCCAACGCCCCAGCCGCCCACCUCAGCCCUGCUUCCCGCUGGAGUCCUCCUCGCCUGCCCGACCCCUGCCUGUUUUCCUCCUGGGUGAAAUGAGAGUACUGCCCCAGAGGAAUUCAGAAGACGCCCUCUCUUGUAGCCUGGAGAAAUAAUUAAAAUAAUCACAAACAUGUGUUAAGGGCGUGGCUCAGAACCCAGCUGGAGAGUAACUGUUCACCCAGCCUCGGUCUCCCACUCUCUGGGCCCCCCAAACCCCGGCUGAAAGGGGCAGCCUUGCAAAAAUAACAGGAAAAUGCCUAAUCCUACAAUUUCCCCAGUAACGGUUCAAGAUCAACCCUAUGAGUUCUCUCACUAACAGGUACCCUGCAGGAGUUCUGUUUUGCACAACUUCUGAAGAUAGCUGAAUGGGCAGAAGAGAGAUGUCAAUCUCUCUUCCAAAAUUGUUUUUUUUAGAACCUGCUUUUACAGAGUUCUUGAGUAAACAGCAGGAGACCGAGCUACAGCCUCAACCAUAUCUUGAGGACAGAGUCACAUCUCCUGUGAUAAUCCCUCCUCCAAGGAAAGGCAGAAAACCAAGUCUUGGACUUUGACAUCCUUGCAGCUUUUGUUAUCUACCCGCUGCCACUUUUGUUAUCAACUGACAGCUGUCACUAUUUUUUCCUUCUCUUGGUCCCCCUUAAAAUCAGCGAGCCACUUGGCCUUGCUACUGGCACCCCUGCUAUUUCUUUUGGGAUGCCACGCCCAGCUCCCUGCUCUCUUCCUCCCCUUCCCCUCUCUCUUUCUCCCUCUUUCUCUCACUCUCUUAUUCU
rnacentral:lncRNA from 1 species